AUGGCAAGCACUGCCCAAGUCAACUCGUUGUUGUCCGUCGCCGCGGAACUUGAGCCGAAGGAGUUCGUCGCCUCUUUCCCUUCGAGCAUGGGCCUAUUAGGCAAGUCCAUCAUCAUUGAUCUGCCUUGCUUCCACCGCACCACCUCCAUCAUGUUGGACCACGUAUUCAUUCGCUCUGUGCCAGUCAGCGUCGAGUUCCCUAUGCUUGAGAGGUUGUCCCUAUUACACUGUAAUGGCAACCUCAAUGCCUUGCUCUCAUGUUGCCCACGGUUAUGCACCCUCCUCCUCAGCGGCAUUUUAUUCGAGACGUGCGAUCUAAGGGUGAACUCGUCAUCGCUCCAGGAGCUUGUUGUGAGGCCCUUCUCAAUAGAACGUGUCAACAUUAUAGCCCCCAUGCUUAAGAAACUGGAGAUUCUCUUUACCGUGAUGUUGGAGGUCAACAUUUCGGUGUUUGCACCAAUUAUGGAGAAGGUCUGGUGGUACUGCUACUACACAGAGGAGUCUAUUGUUUUUUUAUCUUUGGUAUCUCAAGUUGCUGGGACCGCAGGCGGCAGAGAGACAAGGACAACUCCCUCUGCUGCAUAUUCGUGCAAAACUCGUCACUUUUCUCCGAUGAGCCCAACUUUGCAGAGGAGAUAG
rnacentral:rRNA from 1 species